rnacentral:rRNA from 1 species
GACGAACGCUGGCGGCGUGCUUAACACAUGCAAGUCGAACGGAAAGGCCCUGCUUUUGUGGGGUGCUCGAGUGGCGAACGGGUGAGUAACGCGUGAGAAACCUGCCCUUGACUUUGGGAUAACUUCAGGAAACUGGGGCUAAUACCGGAUAGGAGCUCCUGCUGCAUGGUGGGGGUUGGAAAGUUUCGGCGGUUGGGGAUGGACUCGCGGCUUAUCAGCUUGUUGGUGGGGUAGUGGCUUACCAAGGCUUUGACGGGUAGCCGGCCUGAGAGGGUGACCGGCCACAUUGGGACUGAGAUACGGCCCAGACUCCUACGGGAGGCAGCAGUGGGGAAUAUUGCACAAUGGGCGGAAGCCUGAUGCAGCAACGCCGCGUGCGGGAUGACGGCCUUCGGGUUGUAAACCGCUUUCGCCUGUGACGAAGCGUGAGUGACGGUAAUGGGUAAAGAAGCACCGGCUAACUACGUG